rnacentral:rRNA from 1 species
UCCAGACUCCUACGGGAGGCAGCAGUGGGGGAUAUUGCACAAUGGGGGGAACCCUGAUGCAGCGACGCCGCGUGGGUGAAGGAGCGUUUCGGCGCGUAAAGCCCUAUCGGCAGGGAAGAAGGAGGACGGUACCUGACUAAGAAGCCCCGGCUAACUACGUGCCAGCAGCCGCGGUAAUACGUAGGGGGCAAGCGUUAUCCGGAUUUACUGGGUGUAAAGGGAGCGUAGACGGCCAGACAAGUCAGAAGUGAAAGCCCAGGGCUCAACCCUGGGACUGCUUUUGAAACUGCCGGGCUGGAGUGCAGGAGAGGUAAGCGGAAUUCCUAGUGUAGCGGUGAAAUGCGUAGAUAUUAGGAGGAACACCAGUGGCGAAGGCGGCUUACUGGACUGUAACUGACGUUGAGGCUCGAAAGCGUGGGGAGCAAACAGGAUUAGAUACCCCCGUACUA